rnacentral:rRNA from 1 species
CACGUAAGGGGCGAGCGUUGUUCGGAAUUAUUGGGCGUAAAGGGCGUGUAGGCGGUUUUGUAAGCUUGGUGUAAAAGGCAUUAGCUUAACUAAUGAAUUGCGCUGAGAACUGCGAGACUAGAGUUUAGAAGGGGGAACUGGAAUUCCUGGUGUAGGGGUGAAAUCUGUAGAUAUCAGGAAGAACGCCAGAGACGAAGGUGAGUUCCUAGUCAUAGACUGACGCUGAGGCGCGAAAGCGUGGGGAG